UUGGUCCCCAACACAUUUUCGUGGUCCGCCACCAAAAGGUAAGAAUGCAAAAUCCGAUAUAACCUGAUAAGGUAAACAUUUCUUGUCAAUGUCCAAGAAUGAGUUAACACACACACACACACACAAAGAAAAAGGAGCAAGAAGCAACCUCGUUCGGAUACAAGGCUCCGGGACUUCGAGAUGGAUCAAGACCAGCCCAUCCUUCAAUUUCUUCAUUCUUGUUUUGCACAAGAAAUCUCUCUGGUUCGAAGUCAUCAGGGCGGUCCCAAAAAUAUGGAGAUCUAUGGAGAUUAUAUACCUGAAUAUAGGAAUACUUAGGUGGCCAUACAAAUAAAUGAAGUGAAAUUGAGCAAAAUAACCAAAAUCACAAGACAAACUGUUGUUGUAUUUAAGUGUUAGUGGUAAACCAAGUUAUGAGUACUCUCUUGAUUUUUUUUAUAACAAAAAUGGUAGCAACUAGCAAGGAUAGGUUAUUUGUCGGGAAAUAAAAAAAAAAAAAGAAGUUUACUGCAAUACUAACAAAGUAUUAAUGGCAUGUCUUAGAUCCCAAAGGCAAUGGCCCACCUAAAGGAUUGCCUAUUUCCCCACGCAAAAGUUACAAACAAAAAACUGCCACAACUGUGUGUGGGGGGGGUGGGGGGAACUCCCACACGGUACCCCUCUCUUGGUUGUUAAGAAAGUGUAAAUUAAAUGUGCCAUUCUGAUUUACAAAAGGGGACCCUAUCAUGUUCCUGUAUAACGUUGGAGAAUUCUUGUCCAUAAAAUCCAUGCAUUUGUUCAUAAAAGAAACAAGAAGCCACAUAUGUUUGUACUCACAGAAAUGAAGACAUCAGUCCCAGCAGGAAUUGCAUAACCAUCUUUUUCACCUUUGUGCCCACCUGGAGAAGUGACGUUACAUAAGUUCAUACAUACAGCAUCUCAAAUGGAAGCAACAAAUAAAAAUUAACUAGACAGAAAAGAAAAGUAGUCACAUUACUCAUUGAACAUAGAAAUUGUAGAUCAUAAAAUCUCAGCUACCAAAAAUGCGGAUUCCUAGUAAUUAAACUAAUUUACAAUACUGCUUGAAGAUGAUGCAUAAGUGAAUCAUCAGAUGUCUAAACAAAAUAAAUCUGGUUGACCUCGAUGACUAAUUUACAAUUUAAAGAAUUUAAUUAGAACAGCUGACAGUGUAAAUGUAUUUGACAAUAUCAUCCAACUAUAAAUUGUCAUAUGUAUAAAAAGAUUAUUGAUUUUUCUAAUAAUUACUUUAAAAGUCACAUCUAAGGUCAUCUCUAUUUGGUUACAAUGUGAAAAUCUUUACAGUAACAAUGCAUGAAAGCAACACUCUAAUUUAAAACUAUUUGACCUCAAUCUAAGGAAACCCAUUCUGUUUGGAUUCCUUUACCCAUUUUAGCACCUUCUACCUAGCUUCUUUUUUAGGCUUUCUUGGUUCCUUUCAGUUCUCCAUUCUCAGAAAUUAACCCCUUAGGUUCUUUCAUUAGUGAAUCCUUAUUUCAGUUUCUGAUUCAUAAUGCAUCUCCUUUGACAGGCUUUUUCUUGGAAAGCUAAACCUUCCUCCAAGGUUAAGGUUUUGUGUGGGAAGCAAUGAAUAAAAAGAUAAACAAUAAUGAUUUGUUACGGGUGUAUAGGCUUCAUAAAGUUCUCACAGUUGAUGUUUGUUCAUGUUCAACUCCACAGUAGCUCUAAAACAAGUAGCAAGCCCCUUUUUGCACGGUAGUUUCUGUCUGGGGAACAUUGUAUCUGUCCACCUAGCUUUGAACUCUGUUUCUAUCCAGCUAGAUGUUUCGAGAGCAACAGGGAAAAGAUGCUGUGGAAUUGUGCUUUUGUGGCUAGCAUGCAGCACAUUUGGCAAGAGUGCAAUGCCAGAAUCUAUUAUUCAGAGAUCUAUAUUCCUCCUUAUCUUUUUUGUUCAAUAUGCUUGUUUCUGUCUCCUUGCCCCAUAAGCACAUGAAACUGAUUUGAUCUUUUGAACUGAUGCAUGUUCUUCAUUGUGUUUUUCUUCCCUAUCUUCAGAGGAUUUCUGAUUGUUCUACACUGUAUUCUUUUUCACUCUGAAAUUAAUUCCUUUAUCUCUAUUUUGAGGUUGGAAUUUUCUAUAUUAUGUUCUAUUAAGUAGGAGACUUCCAAUCCACAUUGCCCGUGCUAAUUGGGCAAAGCAUGACAUCAAUUAAGAAGUCCAAACAAUAUACAUGUUCAAUCUUUCAUGAUUGGUCCAUUCCCUAUUCCCUAACAUGUUCCAUUGUUCAUUUACUUUUAUAUUGCGUGUGGAUGGUUGGGAUUCGAAACACUUGGACAAUUUUAGUACUCAAUGUUUAGAUACCAAGUGAUAACAGCAAUAAUGUAAUUUGUUUCCAUUCCAUCUUUAUUAAGUAAUCAAUAGAAACCAAUACCUGGUAAAACAUCAGAUUUGAGUGAACGUCUAAUCAGCAAAGGUGGUUGGGGGUAUAAACGAAGAGCCUCCACAACAAUCAAUCUAAUGUACCUGAAAGCAUACAGUGUAUGUAACAAACUGUAUUACUCUAGUAGCUAAGUUGGUACAGCAGAAUGUGAUAUUCCCUGAAAACACCCUACAGUCAACUCUGACAUUCAUGACAAACCUUGCUUUGUGAGAAAAGCUGACUGAUUACAAAGUUCACAUCAAGAAAAAAAUAAUUGAAAGUAACUACUUGUAAUGCUUGUCUUUCAUGUAGAUGUGCCAAUUUGUUAUAAUUUUAGUUAAUCUUUCUGAAUUAUAUAAUGACCACCAAACUGGUUUCAGUGAAUAAAAAAGGUAAAUAUGAAAUGGAAACCUACUGCAAUUCCUUAAGUGAUUCAAAAGUUGGCCUCCCCGUACCCAGCACCAAAUCUACCUCUGCUUGAGCCUUCUUCAUUUUGCUAGGAUUCUGUAAUAAGGAAAUUCGUAAGUAUUAAGAUGGUGUUGCACAAAGAGGAAAGUCAGAAAAAAACAACCCAAACUUUUCUAUCAUGAACAGGCACUUUGAGAUACAUUAGACUGACAUACUUGAGCUAGGAGGAAAACUGCCCAAGUAAGAACUGCAGCCGUUGUUUCAUGACCGGCAAUAAGCAUUGUCAUUAAAUCAUCCCUCAACUGUCAAGAGAGAGAACAAAGUAAACAAAAGCCUACUUUGACAAGCUACCUGAAAUGAAACAUAUUGUCUAAACAAGCAGUUUUACCGCUUAUCCAAAGGAACCAAAUUUUAGCCAGAAUAGUUCUUUUUUAAGCAUAAUGGAUCAGGAAUAGAUAUACCUGACGAUCAUCAACAUCAGCUCCCCGCAUAUCAACCAGGAAACGCAGAAGACUUGCAUCCUGUAAACUCCUAUCUUAAUAAACUUGGUGGCAAUUACAUAACUCCUAGUUUUCAGGGAAUUAUUCUGAUAGUUUUACAUUAGCAAUUAACAUUAGAUCCAUUAAGAUAAACACACCUUCAAAUUUAAGUAAUCCCUCUGCUGCAAUUUCUCAACAUCUGUUUCCUGCAAAUAGAAUGUAAUCAAGACCAUGUCAUGCACUAUCAAUAUAAUAUGAGAGUCUAACAAUGAUGAUGGUUCCUGCAAUCAAUCAUGCUAUUCAAUCAUGAAAUCAAAGUAGUAUCUAACCUGUCUGCUCUCUUUUGCAUUUCUGAUAAGUCCAUCAAGACAAGUAUUGAUGACCUUUAGGUCAUCCUGAAACUUUCUUUGCCUUGGGACUAUCCACCUUGCCAAUGGAAUUUUCCAAUAUGGAAUGUAGAAAGUGGAUCUGUGUUCAGCUUCAAAAAGAGUGCCAUAGACUGCCUAUAACAGACUUAAAAGCAGAGGAUAUAUGAGCUCUCCUAACCAUAGGUAAAGAGAACAAAAAAAAGUAUGGUCUUGAAAAUCAUAUUCCCAACAUGGCCUAAAAUUUUGACUUGUAUUUCCAGACAGACUUUCAUUAAAUAUACAAGCAGUUUAUUAUUGACAAUAUGAUAAACUUUUGAUAAGUCCUUGUUCUUUUUUACCCGCACAAUUGUUUGUAGAAAACUAGAAACUAUAUUCAACACGUAACAUGAAAGAGAUUGAGCGUCGGGAGUACAUAUUAAUAAAGAAGUACAUUAGAUAGGUAGCUAGAUGCUUUUAAGGAGACAAAAUAUAAGAAAGAAAAUUACCACGUCUACUUUCAUUUACAAUCAAUAAAUCAGUAUACACUUGAAAUGCAUAACCUUUAAGUCAAACCUUAAUAACUGGAGAUUCUUUGGUGACAGAACCAAAGUCAUAGUUGAACACACCAAGCCCAAUAAUAUCAAGAGCCAAACUAGAAAACUCUGCCUCAAGAUCCAAUUCAAUUGAGUCAGGUCCAUCAUAACCCUCUCCUUCAAGAAGCUUAUUAAACUUCAAUAUUGUUCUUUCUGAACAAGUUGUGAAUAUUUUAACCAUAGCUUCCAAGUAUGAGUUAUGGAAAGCCGGAGCAAUGACUGCAUAUUUUAUAAAUAUCAAGUCAAAGAAAACAAUAAUAAUAGGUUACAUUCAUAAAACACUUGACAUUAUUAGCACAGGAAAGACAAGCUAUACAAACCAAUGAUUAUUAUUUAAAACUAAAAAGUUAUUCAGACUCAUAACUUGUAACAGAUAGCUGGUAUUAAUUUAGUUAAUUACUGUAGUCCAUAAGAAUUGGAAUGAUGAGCUCCAUUCAUUUAAUUUGAGGAUGAUACUUGACAGCAUAUUAGGGGACAACAUUUAGGAAUUGGAAGUUUAUCUGUUUGAGGUUCUUUGUCGGCUCUAAUAACACUUCAGGUUAUUAUCAUAACAGAUAUUUUUCUAGGACAGCAGUAAGUAACUUUAAAAUAUAGGUUAGCAAAUAUCUUUGACAGUUCCAAAUCAGUAAGUAACUUGUUGAUAUACCAAAUUUGGAUGUUUAAUCUAGUCUUGGAUGUGCUUACCACAAACAUUCAAAAUAUUAUCCCUAACAGAUAAUAUAGUUUUGCUCAAGGAAUCAAGGGAAGCAAUUAACUUUAAACUUCGAAAACACAUUUUGGAAAUAAAGGGUUUUCACUUAAGUAGAAGUAAAACAAAGUAUUUGCAUUGCAAUUUUAGCGAGAGCAUAGGAAUAUGACAGGGAAGAUAAAAUAAGAGAAGAUGUCAUACCACAGGUUUCUAAGUUUAAAUAUCUUGGAACAAUAUUACAAAAUAAUGGGAGAAGUUAGUGAGGAUGUCACACACAAGAUACAAGCAGGAUGACUAAAAUGGAGAAAAGAUACCGGAAGUUAUUUGUAAUCACCAUGAACAUCUCAAGCUCAAAGGAAAGUUUUAUCAUAUUCUUAUACUUCUGGCUAUACUCCAUAGUAGUGAAUGUUGUUGGGCUUUAAAGUAACAAGAGAAAAGGGUGGAAGAAGUAUAAAUGAGAAUGUUAAGAUGGAUGUAUGGCCACACAAGAAAAAACAGGAAAUGAGUAUAUAUGAGGAGAUAUAGGUGUGAAAUUGAUUGAGGAAAAGAUGACAAAAAAUUUAUUAAGGUGAUUUGGACACAUUCUAAGAAGGCCACUAGAAGCACUAGAGAGAAGAAUAGAUUGCAUGGUUUUUAGGAAAGGGAGAAAGAGAGACCAAGGACAUUGGAGAAGGUCGUUAGAGGGAUCCAGUGGUGAAUAAUAUCUCUGAAGAUUUGGUCUUCACUCGAGCCAAAUGGUGUCUUGUGAUCCAUGCAGCCAAAUUCACCUAGUGGGAUUAGGCUUUUGUCAUUGUUUAUUGUUGUUUAUGGUACUUUCUUUUUUAUGUUAUUUUUCCCUAUAAAGGAAGUGUAUAUCAAGAGAAACAAACAAAUAAGAAAAAUGGAGUAUCAAGAAUCUUCUUACUUCUAUAAGCUACAAUGAUAAUAAGAGAGACAAAGAGAAUACAUCAGCUCAAAUGAGCAUCCCAAUCUCUUUGCAAAUAUAACAUCUGAAAAAUCCAAGAGCAGAAACCCAUAAAGAGGCUAGGAAAACAAGCCUAUCUUGUAAAAUGUGUGCCAUAAUUGCUCUCAAAGGUAAAUAAACCAAACUCCAGAAAAGAAGCCAGUGCUGCUGAAGCACCUUUCUAGUUUUAAUACCUUCUACCUCCCAAAACUUUAUGAAAGGGGAAAAAGACUUGUAAAUUGAACAAAGGAUCAGAUGCAGAGUCAAGGAGGUAAAAGGGGGAGAAAAUGACAGAAAUAUAAAAUACAGUUUCUACACCUCUUCUCCUUUGCUUCCAAGUAUCAAGGUCUGCUGGUAUGAGUCCUUUGCCCAUUAUUGGUUCAAGGAUAUCAGCAAGUACUCCCUAGUUUUUUAAUUAACAAGCAGAUGCAAAAAUUAGAGAAAUUUUGAAGAUGAUUAUAAAGUGAAAUAAAAUAGACAUUACUCAAUGAAAUAGGCACAUAAAUUUGCCAGAAAACCAACAUAUCCCAGCUUGUAAAAUCCUAGGGCAGAACAUGUUUUACAUUAGACUACAUUUUAAUGGGUAGCCCACUGGUCACAAAUGUUUACAUUUACUUUGUCAAGAUUUACCAGUUACAAUAAUAAUAAAUAAAAAAAUCCUUUUCCCACUACAGGAAAAAGACUAACUCAAGUUAUUUAUUUAUUUAUUUUUUCUUUUAAGAAAGUAAUGUAUCAGUUUCCUCAAUUCUACUGUUACAAGGCGUCCUCAACCUGCUCUGCAAGGGCCGUACGAACUUAGCCUGUAAAUUCUGAAGCACGUCAUUUUCAUAAAACUAAUGAAGGGUAAACAUGGUAGAGUUGAUUAGCCUGUAAAGUUCAGAAGCUUGAUGCCAUUUUCAAAAAGGGAUAAACAGAGGAGGAGUUAAUUAGCCUGUAAAGUUCAGAAGCUUAAUGCCAUUUUCAUCAAACUAAUGAGUGAUGAGCAGGGAAGGAGUUAAUUUUAUCAUGAAGAUUCUUAGUUAGAAAGAGGGUAGACAGGAAGCUGGUUGAAGGAUAAAGUUGUAGUUUUGUUGGAGGAAACUACAGUUGAGAUUUGAGAAGCCCGAGAAUUUUUCAAUAGAUAAAAUGUAAGUUGCUAAGAGUAAAUGUAUACUCUUCACAAAUCAAAUCCAAUUUCAAUUAGCUAUCAAAUAUCACUGAAAAC
rnacentral:lncRNA from 1 species